ensembl:lincRNA 2310015K22Rik RIKEN cDNA 2310015K22 gene
AGUUGGCACUUGGCACUUAUGAGGUGAAGACAAAGCUGGUUCAUGAGGCUUGUUUUCAAUUCUUUGUGAACCACAAGCCCUCACACUGCAAGAUCGUCAUGACAACCUGUCAGGAUGGGAGCCAGGCGAAGUCAGAGCUUAAUUCUAAAACUCUCCCCAAAACUGAGGAAGAAAAACCUCUGCAGGAGAUGCAGGGCAGCGCUCUCUAUCCUUGGGUAUCUGUGCUUCAAGAUCAUUGCCCAGCGGCCAAGCCUCAACCUCACAGCUUGCUUCCUAGGCGAAGCCCAGCAAGGGCCGGACUCAGACCUAUUUCAAACUGAAGUCAAGUGGAUUCCAGAGUAGCUCUGAAAUAUAGCAGGAAAUAUAGAAAUAUAUACUGGGAUUUCUUUUUCUGGAAACCAAUCAGGCCCUGUCCUAAUGGGAUGCACAGAAGAUACCCAGGAUGCGUGACAUGAAGCUAAUGAAUUCCAAGUCAGAAAAGAGGCACAUGGUGAGACUAGGAACCAGAGUCAGCAUCUACCAUGCUUGGUGGGGCCCAGCACUCAAGCCUGUUUGAUGGGCACUGUGGACUGUGUCUCCACACCUCCAAAAUUCUUAUACUAUGAGGCCCCCAUCCCCAGGGUGGCUGUAUUUGAAAUGGAUAAUAUGUAUUUGAAAUGGAUAAUAUGGCUGGGUAUUAACUAAUCCUGUGAUAAUUAAUAUUGAUUUUUCAACUUGAUGGGAUUUAGAAUCACUAUGGAAAUAAGCCCCCUGAAGUCUGUAAGAGAUCAUCUACAUUAAGUUAAUUGAGAUGAGAAGUUGUAUCCUACAUUUGGGUGGCACUCUAGGGGCUGGGGUCCUGAAUUGGAUUAAAAGGAGAAAGCAGGGGCUGGAGAGAUGGGUCAGUGGUUAAGAGCAGUGACUGCUCUUCCCAAGGUCCUGAGUUCAAUUCCCAGCAACCACAAUGGUGACUCACAACCAUCUGUAAUGGGAUCAGAUCACCUCUUCUGGCAUGUCUAAAGACAGCUACAGUGUACUCGUAUGCAUAAAAUAAAUACAUCUUUAAAAAGGAGUGGGGGAGCAAGCUGAAUGCCAGUAUUCAUCUCUAUCGAGUUCCUGGUUAUGGUUAUCACCAGCUGCCUGAUGCUCCUGCUUUCAAACCAUGAGCCAAAGUCGACCCUUCCUCUCUCAAGUUGCUUCUGUUACAGCAAGGACACAAGCAACUCAUACAGGUGCCUUGCAUCCUCUGGGAUCUAUAACGGACUUGAAAGGACAUGUUGGUGGUCAUCAGAUAAGAGCAAACCUGCCUCUUCAUCUAUUGACCUCCAAAGACGUUCUGACAGACCUGUCCCCUAAACCUUUCUCUACUGGGAGACAAGCAUACACUCUCAGAGUUCACAUUUGUUGAUGUAGCUGGUUUCUAGUUUGCUUGUUGUCAAUGCUUCUCACGUGUCAUUAAAUCACUGAAGUACCCC